rnacentral:tRNA from 1 species
AAUAAAGUGCCUGAUAAAAGGAUUAUUCUGAUAGAAUAAAUUAUGUAAAA